AUGGACGACGACGACAACUCCCCGUCGCCCUCCCUCUCGCCGGCCUCCUCCUCGCCGCUCCCGGUCGCCUCCGCGCUCCCCGUCGCCGACCCCGUCACCGUCGCCUCCGCGCCGCCCGGCGGCCCCCUGACGCUCGCGCUCCCGAUCCAGAAGCACGGGUCCUACCCUAGCCACGGCGGCGGCGGGGGCGGGGGCGGGGGCAGGGAGGAUGCGUGGAGCGAGGGCGCCACCUCCGCGCUCAUCGACGCCUGGGGGGAGCGCUUCGUCGCGCUCGGCCGCGGCAGCCUCCGCCACCCCCAGUGGCAGGAGGUCGCCGAAGCCGUCUCCUCCCGGGACAACUACUCCAAGGCCCCCAAGUCCGACGUGCAGUGCAAGAACCGCAUCGACACGCUCAAGAAGAAGUACAAGAUCGAGAGGGCCAAGCCGGUCUCGUCGUGGCAGUUCUACGACCGCCUCGACGUGCUCCUCGCCCCCACCUACAACCAGAAGCCGGCCGCCCACCCUAACGGACGGAACGCGGUGCCCACGGCGCUGCGCGCGGGCUUCCCCCAGCGCAGCCGCACGCCGCUGAUGCCGGCCUCGGCGCCCGUCAAGCGGAGGGCGCCGUCUCCGGAGCUGUCGGCUUCGUCUGAGUCGUCCGACGGGUUCCCGCCGGAGCCUGCGCUCCCGGCGGCGAAUGGCAAGAGGAGGAGGACGGACGAGGGGCGCGUGGAUGGCUUCAGCGGCGGUGACCGUUCUCAGGGCAUGCGAGAGCUAGCGCAGGCGAUACGACGCUUUGGUGAGGCCUACGAGCGCGUGGAGACAGCGAAGCUGGAGCAGGCCGCCGAGACGGAGCGCCAGCGUCUGGACUUCGCACGGGAGCUUGAAUCGCAACGCGUGCAGUUCUUCCUUAAUACGCAGAAGGAGCUCUCACAGGGCAAGAGCCACAUCUCUCCCGCUGCGGCUGCCUCCCACUCCCAGGUAGGUGCCGCCACUGUUGGUGGCUCAUCUAGGAGGAUGGCGUCUGUACCAGAUUCCACAUCGAGAAGAAUGGCACCGUUUCCUGAUGCCCGGACGAGCAGCAAUCACCAUGACCGGUACCGUGCCAGCGACGGGAGCAGACACCAUCACCGCCCUGCCCUUCGCCCGCAUUAUCAGUACCAUGAGAGCAAUAUGGCCGACUCUGCAGCUGCCAGCGACGGGGAGCAGAGCGAUGAGGAGGAGGAGGAAGAGGACGAUGACAAUGAAGAAGAGAGCCAGUGA
rnacentral:rRNA from 1 species